UACGUAGGGUGCGAGCGUUAAUCGGAAUUACUGGGCGUAAAGCGUGCGCAGGCGGUUUUGUAAGACAGGCGUGAAAUCCCCGAGCUCAACUUGGGAAUUGCGCUUGUGACUGCAAGGCUAGAGUGUGUCAGAGGGGGGGUAGAAUUCCACGUGUAGCAGUGAAAUGCGUAGAUAUCGAGAGGAACACCUGUGGCGAAGGCGGCCAGCUGGGCCGACCCUGACGCUGAGGCGCGAAGGCGUGGGGAGCGAACGGG
rnacentral:rRNA from 1 species